UGGGGAAUUUUGGACAAUGGGCGAAAGCCUGAUCCAGCCAUGCCGCGUGAGUGAAGAAGGCCUUCGGGUUGUAAAGCUCUUUUAGUCGGAAAGAAAGAGUCGCAAUGAAUAAUUGUGAUUUAUGACGGUACCGACAGAAAAAGCACCGGCUAACUACGUGCCAGCAGCCGCGGUAAUACGUAGGGUGCGAGCGUUAAUCGGAAUUACUGGGCGUAAAGGGUGCGCAGGCGGUUUUGCAAGUCAGAUGUGAAAGCCCCGGGCUUAACCUGGGAAUUGCGUUUGAAACUACAAGGCUAGAGUGCAGCAGAGGGGAGUGGAAUUCCAUGUGUAGCAGUGAAAUGCGUAGAGAUGUGGAAGAACACCGAUGGCGAAGGCAGCUCCCGUGGGUUGACACUGACGCUG
rnacentral:rRNA from 1 species